GAUAAACGCUGGCGGCGUGCAUAACACAUGCAAGUCGAACGAAGGGGCGAACGGGUGAGUAACACGUGAGUAACCUGCCUUAGACAAGGGGAUAGCCUUGGGAAACCGAGAAUAAUACCCUAUAGUCAAAGAUGGACUUGCGUCUGAUUAGCGAGUUGGUGAGAUAACAGCCCACCAAGGCGACGAUCAGUAGCCGGCUGGGGGAAGUGUACGGCCACAUUGGGACUGAGACACGGCCCAAACUCUACGGGAGGCAGCAGUGGGGAAUUUUCCACGCUGGGGGAAACACUGAGGCAGCGACGCCGCGUGAUUUGGACGGCGUUCGGGUUGUAAAAAUCUUUUAUAUGGGAAGCAGUACCAUCAGAAUAAGGUCCGGCUAAAUACGUGCCAGCAGCCGCGGUAAUAC
rnacentral:rRNA from 1 species